GCCGCGGUAAUUCCAGCUUCAGCAGCAUCUAUUAAAGUUGCUGCGGUUAAAAGGCUCGCAGUUGAAUGUCUGUAUCGAGCGCAGGUCAGGUGGACGUUGGGGCGUGGAAGUACGGGCAGUUGGAUGUCCGGGGGGCCUCGUGCUCAACGGCUCCUUCGGCUUUUCCACACACCCCCGUCCCUUACAAGCCUCCUCGCUCGGGUACAUAACGGGAAUCGGUCAAACGGAGUGUGGUCUUGGGAGUUGGGGCGUGCGUGGCUUCGCGGUUGCGUGCGUUCUUUCUUUCGGGGCUGCGUCAAGCUCCAUCGGUUUCACGGUCACCUUGAGUAAAUCAGAGUGCUCAAAGCAGUCGUAGGGGCCUUGCGCCCUGUGAACAGUCUUGACGGACUGACUUGGUUUUGCAUGGCAUGUCGGAAGACGACGUCGUGUGCUGGCUCAGAGGAUAAAUCAGUGGUACAAGCCAGCCUCGACGUAAUGAUUAAAAGGGACGGUCGAGGGCAUUGGUAUUGCGAGGCGAGAGGUGAAAUUCUGUGACCCCCGCAAGACCUCCUGAAGCGAAAGCGUCUGCCAAGGACGUUUUCAUUAAUCAUGAACGAAAGUUAGAGGAUCGAAGGCGAUCAGAUACCGCCCUAGUUCUAACCCUAAACGAUGCCAACCAUCAAUCCGCGCGUAGCACCCUUCUUAACGGGCUCGGCGGGCAGCUCCCCACUCACGGGAAACCAGAGCCUCUGGGUUCCGGGGGGAGUCUGGUUGCAAAGCUGAAACUUAAAGGAAUUGACGGAAAGGCACCACCAGGCGUGGAGCCUGCGGCUUAAUUUGACCCAACACGGGCCAUCUCACCAGGCCAGCACUCUUGUACGAUUGACAGAUUGAGAGCUCUUUCUCGAUUCAGUGGAUGGUGGUGCAUGGCCGUUCUUAGUUGGUGGAGUGAUCUGUCUGGUUAAUUCCGAUAACGAACGAGACUCUCCCCUGCUAACUAGUCGGUUGGAUCUUGAUCAGUGGGUUGAGUGCCGAGUAACUCUCGCUGUGCGUGUUGUGCGUCGCGUUCCUCACGGUUCGUUGCGUGCUCAUGUGUGGCGUUGGAUGCCUUGGAUCACACUGCACCCCAAGUCCGCCGCUUUGCUAUAACUCUUCUUAGAGGGAUUCACGGCACUGAAGCCGUAAGAGACUGAGAGCAAUAACAGGUCUGUGAUGCCCUUAGAUGCUCUGGGCCGCACGCGCGCUACAAUGCCGGGCACAGCAGGUGUUUCUCCUGCUCCGACAGGAGCGGGUAACCCUCUGAAAGCCAGUGUUCUUGCAAGUGCUUCCUCCCUCGUGGAGUUGCACAGAGGCGUGCUUGGGCCUGGGACUUGCAAUUCUUUCCCACCAACGAGGAAUGCCUAGUAGCGGCGGGUCACUGAGCCCGCUGUGACUCAGUCCCUGCCCUUUGUACACACCGCCCGUCGCUACUACCGAUUGGGUGUACCAGUGAGAGCCUUGGACUGGCGUCCGUUGUUGCUCGCAAGAGUGACAAGCGGGUCCGACGGAAAGAGGUCCGAACUGGUGCACUUAGAGGAAGUAAAAGUCGUAACAAGGUUUCCGUAGGUGAACCUGCGGAAG
rnacentral:rRNA from 1 species